GUGAGGAAUAUUGGUCAAUGGGCGGGAGCCUGAACCAGCAACGCCGCGUGAAGGAAGAAGGCUUUCGGGUUGUAAACUUCUUUUACCAGGGACGAAACAAAUGACGGUACCUGGUGAAUAAGCCACGGCUAACUACGUGCCAGCAGCCGCGGUAAUACGUAGGUGGCGAGCGUUAUCCGGAUUUAUUGGGUGUAAAGGGCGUGUAGGCGGGACAGCAAGUCAGAUGUGAAAACCAGAGGCUCAACCUCUGGCCUGCAUUUGAAACUGUUGUUCUUGAGUGUCGGAGAGGUAAUCGGAAUUCCGUGUGUAGCGGUGAAAUGCGUAGAUAUACGGAGGAACACCAGUGGCGAAGGCGGAUUACUGGACGAUAACUGACGCUGAGGCGCGAAAGCGUGGGGAGCAAACAGGAUUAGAAACCCUGGUAGUCC
rnacentral:rRNA from 1 species